rnacentral:tRNA from 1 species
GGGCCGUUAGCUCAAUAGUUAGAGUACUGCAUUGACAUUGCAGGGGUAGUUGGAGCGUAACCAACACGGCCCACCA